GAAAGAUUAGACCCAUUUAGUCCUCUGGCCUACAUCUUUCUCCCAUGCUGGAUGCUUCCUGCCCUUGAACAUUGAACUCCAAGUUCUUCAGCUUUGGGACUCGGACUUUCUUUGCUUCUCAGCUUGUAGACAGCCUAUUGUGGGACCUCACCUCGUGAUCACGGGUGCUCAAAUGAAAGAGAAAAGUUUAAAAAGCAACAUUUGUUAGAAGACAUAAUGAUGCACAUUUCUGCUCAACUGGGAGUACAUUGUCUGCUGGGGCCAAGGUCUGGGAGAGAGCAGGGGAGUGGAGGAGCCAAGAUGGCCGAAUAGGAACAGCUCUGGUCUACAGCUCCCAGCGUAAGCGACGCAGAAGACAGGUGAUUUCUGCAUUUCCAUCUGAGGAUCCUACAGGACAUUCAAUCAUCACGUCUCCUUAGGCCCCUCUCAACUGUGGCAGUUUCUCAGACUUCGUUGUUUUUGCUCUUUCUCUUUCACGUGGGGAGAGUGUGGAACGGCUCAGUUUCUCCAGCAAGGAAUCCUCCUGUCCUGUCUAAAAGGCAACCUGCAUCCUAGGAGCAAAGAGAGGGAAAAGCACUGAGGAGUACGGCCAUGCCAUAGGCAGAUUUGCAAUUAAUUCUCUCGCUUGCAGCCCUAUGACUAAUUCUGGGCCAGGCCGUGCAUAUUGUCUCCAAAUCCUGAGGCUCUUGCCUCCCAUUCUCCAAAGAAUAAUCAGCCUCCUGCCUGGGGGGGUGAUUACACAGCUGCUAGGGUUCUAUGCCUGAGCCGUAAGUGAGGUACACAGACUGUUUCCCAUGUUAACAUAUUCUUCAGUUUAUUCCCACACUCUCUGCUGUACUGGAUUCCUCAGUUUCGGAGCUUCUCCAGGAGUCUACAGGACUAACUUAUUGUCUCCUUGUUAGUACCAACUUCUUGCUUGUCCUUUAAGAUAUGAUAUCCUCAAUCUGGUUAUAUCAGACACCUUUCCUACAUUCCUUUCCUGUCUUUUGAAAUAUGAUUGAAAUAUUUCAUCAAUUAAUGUCUUCUCUCCUAUUCUCUUUGUACUUGCAAGCUUAAGCCUCUUUUAUCUUUUCAAAUAUUUUAGCAGGCUCUCUGAAAGGAGAGGCUAUAAACUUCUAUGUCUAUUCUUCUAUCUUUAAAUUCAACAAGAGGCAGAACACUUUCAUGGUUAAGUUAGGCCUGCAUUUAAAUCCUGCCUCUGUCACAUACUUUUCUAAGACUUAGAAAUUUGCUAACCUCUGGAAACCUUGACCUCCUUUCUGUAAAAUGAGAACCUACCUCAUUGGGUUGUUGUGAGGAUCAAAUAAAAUAUGUAUGGUUGGCACGUA
rnacentral:lncRNA from 1 species